ensembl:lncRNA
CUAGCAUGUAAUCAUGCAUAAAAUAAUUCAGAAUAAUAUAGCUUGAAGAUACAGCUUUCUUUCCUCUCAUUUUGUUAAACUUAAACACAAGAUUCUGCCUUUCUCUGCCUGUUUCUCUUCAUCUUAGUCCUUUACUCCCUUCACUCACUCACACAUUCUCUUUUGCUCUGUUGUAAGGCACAAACACAGCAGAUGGUUGCAUGAUGGCCUUUUUCAGUUUUGUCAUCUGAACGUCUACUAGUGAGGCUCAGCAAGUUCUUGUCAUGAUCAGCCCUCUCCAAGUAAGGUUUGUAGAAAAUUGUAACCAAUAUUCAUUUAAUCCUCUAACCUGAAUCUUUUGGUGAAUUAACUUAAUUAUAUCUGUCUUAGUUCAUAUGUUUAACCAGCAAUAGUAAUUAAACAUGGGGUUAAUAGACAUAUUUUUGUUUUACAGCUGAAGAGCAAAACACAAAGAAAAUCAGUCCUGUUGGGGAUGAGGAAUGAACAUGGCUCUAUUGUGCUCAAACAGAAAAGCUCCUAGAAUGUGCAAAUCAUCAGUGCAUCAUUUCUGGAAUUUGGGCAGAAAAUGGCUGAAUAUGGUGAGUACUGACACCUGCACCUGUAUACACCAAAACUAUUUUUGUUAUGGCCUUAUAGUUUUUGAUUUUUUUGAAGGAGGAUGAAGUCAGUUAAUGUAGAAAUGAAGAACAAGGCAUGUUGUAUAUGAAGACUUCAGAUGCAAAAGCCUUUAAGUUAUAUCUGAAAUGUUCUUCUAAGAAGAAUUUUAGAAGAAAAAUUCAGACCGAACUUAGAGGCAUCUUUGCAUCUGAAGUCUUCAUAUGUACUACGAGUUUUUAAUACAUUACAGAUUUGUUAUGACUGCUUGUAUUAUGUUCUACUUGUACAGAAAGAGUGCAUCAAGAGGUAGAAGGAAAACUGGUACUGAAAACAUUUGUCUUCACUCACAUGGUCCAGACUAAAGAGAAGUGGGUCUGAGGUCUUUGUUGACGGUGUAUUCAGUGGCCACCAAGUGCAGCACUGCAGCCUGAAACUGUGAUGACUGAAUUCCCAAACAGCUCUGUGACAGCACAGAUGUAACUACAGCCCAUAAAAGAAACUUCUCAACUGAGAACUAGUUGUGGAGGGAUUUUUAAGCC